rnacentral:rRNA from 1 species
UACAGAGGGUGCGAGCGUUGUCCGGAAUCACUGGGCGUAAAGGGCGCGUAGGUGGCGCCCCAAGUCCGUGGUGAAAGCUCGAUGCUCAACAUCGAGUCGGCCACGGAAACUGGGGGGCUCGAGCACUGUAGAGGCAGAUGGAAUUCCGGGUGUAGCGGUGGAAUGCGUAGAGAUCCGGAAGAACACCGGUGGCGAAGGCGGUCUGCUGGGCAGUAGCUGACACUGAGGCGCGACAGCGUGGGGAGCGAACAGG